rnacentral:rRNA from 1 species
AUUGAACGCUGGCGGCAUGCUUUACACAUGCAAGUCGAACGGUAACAGGCCGCAAGGUGCUGACGAGUGGCGAACGGGUGAGUAAUGCAUCGGAACGUGCCCAGUCGUGGGGGAUAACUACUCGAAAGAGUAGCUAAUACCGCAUACGUUCUAUGGAUGAAAGCGGGGGACCGUAAGGCCUCGCGCGAUUGGAGCGGCCGAUGUCAGAUUAGGUAGUUGGUGGGGUAAAGGCUCGCCAAGCCAACGAUCUGUAGCUGGUCUGAGAGGACAACCAGCCACACUGGGACUGAGACACGGCCCAGACUCCUACGGGAGGCAGCAGUGGGGAAUUUUGGACAAUGGGCGCAAGCCUGAUCCAGCAAUGCCGCGUGCAGGAAGAAGGCCUUCGGGUUGUAAACUGCUUUUGUACGGAACGAAACGGCUCUGGUUAAUACCCGGGGCUAAUGACGGUACCGUAAGAAUAAGCACCGGCUAACUACGUG